CCUAUCUUAUCCCGGGCAUCUCGCUUUCUAACCAUGCAGAGGCGUCAGAGUGUGCAGCGCUCUGCUGAGCGGUUGUCUCACUGUGUUUUUAUUGGUCUUCUCACACAACAUGCUUUGCCAGAUCCUAACCCAAACCACCGUAACUUUUAAAGGAGUGUUAAUUGACAUUUAUGAAGUUAACACAUUUUUAAUUAAGGGCAAUUAUCAGAUUAUAGAGGGCUUUUAAUUAUGGUCAGAUAAAAUUAGUGAAAAUAUUGGAGCAAAUUGCUUGAAAGUGAAAAAAAAAAAACACCAUCUAGGAUCUGGAAAGAAAAGACGAGAACAUUAUUUAAAGAGUAAAUUAUCUCUCUGUGGAUAGUACUUAAAAGUUAACAAGUGCUCUCUGACAAAAUGAAAACCUUAAUUAAAUAAGAAUGAUUGUUGUUGUUAAUUGAAUUGACAGGUCCUGGUUCUCUGGAGGUUCCAUUCUGACUGAGAACAACGAUGUGGUUCUUCCAGUGAUUUUAGAUCUGCAGGACUGAGUUCCUGUCGGGACUUGAUCUGAAAUGCAGAAUGAAGAUGUUGUGCUGCGCUCACUUGUACACAGGUUUAUGAGAAAUAUUGACUCAACAGUUUGUCCUACCUAGACAUUCCUGCUAACAGAACUUCCUUCAUGUGUACUUGAUGUAGAUUUAUCCACUGGUCCAACUACGGAGUCUGGAAGAAAUGAGGCCACCUUGACCACAUUCUCCAUUAUUAUUAUUUUACGAGGAAUGUUCUGGUUUUUGGGCUCAGAAUAUGUUUUGUUCACAAAGAAAGUAGGGGAACUGUUUAGAUGGCAGCUGAUAUAGCUAAUAUACUGUAGUCAGAAUGAGUGAGCAAUUUAACUGUAGUUCAAGUGAUGUGUAUCCCAAACUCUGACAGUUGUUGUUACAAUAAAUGGUUAAGAAUCUUGAUGGGAGUCCCAACUGAAUGGACUCCAACGGAAAAAGGGUCAAGAUGAGAGACGGAGAGAGACAGAACUAAAGUAGAAAAAAAGGAAACAGCGGACAGCAGAGCAAAGUUCCUCCUGUCACUCCAUUAAACAGGAGCGUCCUGCAUCCCAUCCCCCCCCUCCUCCCUCAUUUCCUACCUUCCUACCACACACACUCCUCCACAAAUCCCUUCACGCCAAACUCACUCAAGAUUAAGCAUGUGUGAAAUUGAGGACUUUCUAAUACACAUACCCCUUCUGCUCUCCACAAACACACACACACACACACACACUCCAGUCCAUCCCGGGAAUAAAAACAGAAGAGUAAGUAGUGAAUGAGUAAGCAGUGGCUAUAGGAAGUGGGGUUUGACUGUAAAAAGAGGAAUUCUAAUCACCACUUCCUCGUCAGUGUUGAAUACUUGUAGCCGUGCGUCACAGGAUUUAAACAUCCAGUUUGCGAUUACCUGUUUAAGACUUCCACACUUUUUCCAUGACCAUCAGAACAGUACAUUCAAAACAUGUAUGCACAUUUGAGAAUAUAAUGGAAAAAGCCCAUUGGUAUCCCCCCCAAAAACAAAAAAUGUAGCAUCUUUUAUCGACCUGUGGAGAGCAAACCCAUACUGCGUGACAAUAUUCAUGUGAUGAUUCAUGAAGUUUCGUUUAGUGUCAUUUCAGUCGAAAAAAAAAAAAUUCUUUAAAAGAAA